ensembl:lncRNA
CACCCCCACCGCCAAGGCCUCAGAGGAGCUCCGGCCCCGAAGCCUAGGCGGUGACGGGGAGAGGGGUGAGGGGGCGCUCCGCCUCCUCUGAGUCAAUAUUUGCCCCGAGCAAACGGGCGCCUGGACAGGUGUGUGUGUGUGUGUGUGUGUGUGUGUGUGUGUGCGCGCGUGCGCUCGCGCGUGUGUGUGUCUCUAUGGGCGGGGACUGAGUAGGCCGUAUAAAGCGCGCUGAGCCGGGGCUCCCGCACAAGCUCCGCGGCUUGCGCUGGGGACCAAGCCAAGCGGGGCCGGGCCGGGUGGAGGGUGGCCAGGAAGGGAGGGGCGGACCAGGUGCGCACCUGCAGUGGCCGCCGCGGCCGCCGACGUGUCAGCCGCAGAUGCGCGCAGGUGAGGGCGGCGGCUAUCGGGCGCCGGACAGCACGGCACUCGCCGAAGACCAGGACCAGGAGACCGCCGAGGGCCACAGCCAGGCCCCGGACCCCCCGCUCCCGCCCCGCGACGAGCCCCUCGCACAAACCGGACCUGAGCGUUUUGUUCGUUCGGCUCGCGUGAGGCAGGGGCGGCCUCUCAGCACCCGCCCGGGGGCCCGGGCCGAUCGCCACGCAGGCACCUGUCGCCGCCGCCGCCAUACGGGUCGGAGAGGCUGUGCGCCGCUCCCCGGGGACAUCCGGCUCCCAUCCGGCCCCGCCCGCCCUGUCCUGUCCGGCCCGCGGCUCAAGGGCUGCCCGCUUCGAUUCCGGAUAAUGCGGGCUGGCAGAGCCAGCUCCACCGGGUGGCGUAGGGGGUCUGGGGGCCAGUUUAGGCGUUCUUCCAGAGGUGGAAACCCGGGUUUCUAGUCUGGCUCUGUCCCAGCGACUUCUGUGGUCUUGGGCAAGUCAUUUCCCGGCUUCUCCUCGGAUAUUCCCACUUGCAUAAGGAGAAGAGGGUUAGUCUGGCCUCUCGUGUGGGGCCCACCAGUCCCCAUGUUCUGGUUUCUGGGCUUUCAGCAAUGAUUUUGAGCCCCUUGACCUGGGAAAUUGGAGGCUCGCAAGGGGUUGGAGCAACAGCUAUGAGGUGUGGAAAAUCUGGGUGGGGGGAGCUAGGGUUACAUUGGACCAAGUUCGGUUCCUCCUCAUCUCUUUGGUGCUGACAUUCUGAGGGUUCACUCCCUGCCAUCUCCUUGGCCCGUCUUGCAGUCUCCUCACCUCUGAACAGAUUGCUUGAGAAGGACAAACACAGGGUCUGGUAGCCCUUGCCUGCUGGGGCUCCCAGGCCCUGAAGCUGACCACCUCUCCCAGACUUCACAAUCACAAGGUUUCCUAUUUCAGUCAGCUGGGGUUGGGGUGGGUCUAAGUGGCCCUCAGAUUAGGUGGGAGUUAGUGGGUCCUUAGCUACAACCCAAACCUAGGACAGGCCACCCCCUUUUCAGUGACUCAGAGUGUUAAGAUCUGACAGGAGGGAGAAAGACGAAGAUUGCGCUAGACCCCUGCCCCCUGCUUGGAGAACCUAGAAUGCAGGCCUGGGCUCAGUUGAGUCCCUGUCCUUGAUUCCCAGUGUCUUCUGUUCCAUUCCCCCAGAACUGAUGUCGAUGCGAAGUCAGCCCCAGAGAGAAGGGCUAGUUGUGGGCCAGGGGUGGAAGGAAGGUUCCUUGGAUGGCAGUAAGGAGCUCCCCAAUUUCUCCUAAGGCUGCGGCAGCUGCCCCUGGCCCCACUGUCCACGUGUGGAUUUUGCCCAGCCUUGGAACUUCUGGCUGUGGAGGCUGCCCAGGGUCUCCACCGCAAAUUCCAGCUGGAAUUCUAACUUGGAUCUCAACGGUGUUAUCUCCCCCCAAGCCUUUGAAGACACACACACAACCCCCACACGCAUCUCCUGAGGAAUAUGGUGAUCCCACCAACACCUGGACUGGAAAUUGCCCUCCCAGCCCCAGCUCCUGAACACACAGUGACUGGCCUCUGACAAACACCCCCGCACCCUCGGGACUAGCACUCACCGGCAGCGUCACUGACCAGCGCAGACGCACAGCCUGACGCACUCGCCUGCCGCGCCUGCUGCGCCUCCAGACCUCAGCCUCCCAGCAACUGCCACUUCCAUUGCCCGCGCUGCUCCGGCCUUCGCGCGGGCCUUCCACCCAGCGCGGCCCGCGAGCCCCCCCUGGUGGCCGAG